CAGUAGGGAAUCUUCCACAAUGGGCGCAAGCCUGAUGGAGCAACACCGCGUGAGUGAAGAAGGGUUUCGGCUCGUAAAGCUCUGUUGUUAAAGAAGAACACGUAUGAGAGUAACUGUUCAUACGUUGACGGUAUUUAACCAGAAAGUCACGGCUAACUACGNGCCAG
rnacentral:rRNA from 1 species